rnacentral:rRNA from 1 species
UACAGAGGUCUCAAGCGUUGUUCGGAUUCAUUGGGCGUAAAGGGCGCGUAGGCGGCGGGGUAAGUCUGGUGUGAAAUCUAGGAGCUCAACUCCUAAACUGCACUGGAUACUGCUCUGCUAGAGGACUGGAGAGGAGACUGGAAUUCACGGUGUAGCAGUGAAAUGCGUAGAUAUCGUGAGGAAGACCAGUGGCGAAGGCGGGUCUCUGGACAGUUCCUGACGCUGAGGCGCGAAGGCCAGGGGAGCAAAGCGGGG